rnacentral:rRNA from 1 species
UGGGGAAUCUUGCGCAAUGGGCGAAAGCCUGACGCAGCCAUGCCGCGUGAAUGAUGAAGGUCUUAGGAUUGUAAAAUUCUUUCACCGGGGACGAUAAUGACGGUACCCGGAGAAGAAGCCCCGGCUAACUUCGUGCCAGCAGCCGCGGUAAUACGAAGGGGGCUAGCGUUGCUCGGAAUUACUGGGCGUAAAGGGAGCGUAGGCGGACAUUUAAGUCAGGGGUGAAAUCCCGGGGCUCAACCUCGGAAUUGCCUUUGAUACUGGGUGUCUUGAGUGUGAGAGAGGUAUGUGGAACUCCGAGUGUAGAGGUGAAAUUCGUAGAUAUUCGGAAGAACACCAGUGGCGAAGGCGACAUACUGGCUCAUUACUGACGCUGAGGCUCGAAAGCGUGGGGAGCAAACAGGAUUAGAUACCCUGGUAGUCCACGCCGUAAACGAUGAUUGCUAGUUGUCGGGAUGCAUGCAUUUCGGUGACGCAGCUAACGCAUUAAGCAAUCCGCCUGGGGAGUACGGUCGCAAGAUUAAAACCUCAAAGGAAUUGACGGGGGUCAUAGCUGUUUCCUG